GGUGAUUUGAAAUGGGAGAAUGAGCCGCCAGAGGCAGUAAAAAUGGGUGGUAGGGAAAGAUCUUUUUAUCUUCCCAGUCCAUGAUAUCAAGUGGGAAUGUGAGUUUCUUUCCCUUACUGUCCAUUUUUAUUGUCUCUGGAGAUUUCUCCCUUUUCCUUUCAUAC
rnacentral:pre_miRNA from 1 species